rnacentral:rRNA from 1 species
AUUGAACGCUGGCGGCAUGGCUAAAACAUGCAAGUCGAGCGCGAAAGUGGAGCAAUCCAUGAGUAGAGCGGCGAAAGGGUGAGUAAUAGGUUUCUACGUGCCUUGAGGUCGAGGAUAGCCAGGGGAAACUCUGGGUAAUACUCGAUGUGAUCGAGAGAUCAAAGGCUUGCCGCCUCAAGAGCGGGGAACCUCCUAUCAGGUAGUUGGUGAGGUAACGGCUCACCAAGCCUUUGACGGGUAGCGGGUGUGAGAGCAUGGCCCGCCACAUCGAAACUGAGACACUGUUCGGACUCCUACGGGAGGCUGCAGUAACGAAUCUUCCGCAAUGCGCGAAAGCGUGACGGAGCAAUGCCGCGUGCAGGAUGAAGCCCCUGGGGUAGUAAACUGCUGUCAGGGAUUAGGAAGCAAGUGACCAAUCCCAAAGGAAGAGACGACUAACUCUGUGCC